rnacentral:lncRNA from 1 species
CUUGGGGGCCCGAACUUCUCGUUACUUUGAGGAAGUUGAUUUCUCCUCAGCCUGUGUGGGUUUCCUCUUAGCGACUGAGGGUUUUUGGUAGGAGUAUCCUUCCUCAUUGAGAUGAGGUCCCUUAUGUCUUUGAUGUAGUUCAUUUUUCAUUUAUCGCUGGUGUAGUUCGUCGCUUUCUCUUUUCAUCUCCCUCUUUUCUU